rnacentral:sRNA from 1 species
AGACUACGGCGUCCUCAUAAUAAAUGGCUU